rnacentral:rRNA from 1 species
UAAGGAAUAUUGGUCAAUGGGCGCAAGCCUGAACCAGCCAUGCCGCGUGAAGGAAGACGGCCCUACGGGUUGUAAACUUCUUUUGUACGGGAAAAAANCCUCCGGUCGUGAACCGGAGCUGAUGGUACCGUAAGAAUAAGCAUCGGCUAACUCCGUGCCAGCAGCCGCGGUAAUACGGAGGAUGCAAGCGUUAUCCGGAUUCAUUGGGUUUAAAGGGUGCGCAGGCGGAAUGAUAAGUCAGUGGUGAAAUCCUACAGCUCAACUGUAGAACUGCCAUUGAUACUGUCGUUCUUGAGUACACUUGGAGUGGGCGGAAUGUGUCAUGUAGCGGUGAAAUGCUUAGAUAUGACACAGAACACCGAUCGCGAAGGCAGCUCACUAAAUUGUAACCUGACGCUCA